rnacentral:rRNA from 1 species
AAGCUUGCUUUCUUUGCCGGCGACCGGCGCACGGGUGAGUAACACGUAUCCAACCUGCCCUUUACUCGGGGAUAGCCUUUCGAAAGAAAGAUUAAUACCCGAUAGCAUAAUGAUUCCGCAUGGUUUCAUUAUUAAAGGAUUCCGGUAAAGGAUGGGGAUGCGUUCCAUUAGGUUGUUGGUGAGGUAACGGCUCACCAAGCCUUCGAUGGAUAGGGGUUCUGAGAGGAAGGUCCCCCACAUUGGAACUGAGACACGGUCCAAACUCCUACGGGAGGCAGCAGCGAGGAAUAUUGGUCAAUGGGCGCUAGCCUGAACCAGCCAAGUAGCGUGAAGGAUGAAGGCUCUAUGGGUCGUAAACUUCUUUUAUAUAAGAAUAAAGUGCAGUAUGUAUACUGUUUUGUAUGUAUUAUAUGAAUAAGGAUCGGCUAACUCCGUGCCAGCAGCCGCGGUAAUACGGAGGAUCCGAGCGUUAUCCGGAUUUAUUGGGUUUAAAGGGAGCGUAGGUGGACUGGUAAGUCAGUUGUGAAAGUUUGCGGCUCAACCGUAAAAUUGCAGUUGAUACUGUCAGUCUUGAGUACAGUAGAGGUGGGCGGAAUUCGUGGUGUAGCGGUGAAAUGCUUAGAUAUCACGAAGAACUCCGAUUGCGAAGGCAGCUCA